rnacentral:lncRNA from 1 species
UAUCUGAAGAGGCCCGCAAGGCCCACGGCCGCUGGAAGACGGACGCAAUGGUGCAGCUAUAUACCCGGCUGGAAGACGAUGCCGCACUGGCAACCACGCGCAACCUGGGCCUCGCCUGAGUCAGAGGGCCCCUCCUGCUAUCUUUUCUGUCUGCAGUAGUGUAAGGCCACAGCUUGGCAGCCCCGGUUUCGCCUCGUCCUGUCCUAUCC